rnacentral:tRNA from 1 species
GUUCCUGUGGUUUUAUGUGUUCUUUAGUUGGAUAGUGAUUGGUUGUUCC